rnacentral:rRNA from 1 species
CGCCCCGCGAGGGGAGCGGCAGACGGGAGAGUAACACGUGGGAACGUACCCUUUGGUUCGGAACAACCCAGGGAAACUUGGGCUAAUACCGAAUAAGCCCUUACGGGGAAAGAUUUAUCGCCGAAGGAUCGGCCCGCGUCUGAUUAGCUAGUUGGUGAGGUAACGGCUCACCAAGGCGACGAUCAGUAGCUGGUCUGAGAGGAUGAUCAGCCUCACUGGGACUGAGACACGGCCCAG